UUUUUUUUUUUUUUUUUUUUUUUUUUGAUGAAGUGCUAAAUGCCCAUACAAAUAG
rnacentral:ribozyme from 1 species